CUGGGGCGGCUACCAUGCAGUCGAGCGGAAACGAUGGGAGCUUGCUCCCAGGCGUCGAGCGGCGGACGGGUGAGUAAUGCAUAGGAAUCUGCCCGAUAGUGGGGGAUAACCUGGGGAAACCCAGGCUAAUACCGCAUACGUCCUACGGGAGAAAGCAGGGGCUCUUCGGACCUUGCGCUAUCGGAUGAGCCUAUGUCGGAUUAGCUGGUUGGUGAGGUAAUGGCUCACCAAGGCGACGAUCCGUAGCUGGUCUGAGAGGAUGAUCAGCCACAUCGGGACUGAGACACGGCCCGAACUCCUACGGGAGGCAGCAGUGGGGAAUAUUGGACAAUGGGCGAAAGCCUGAUCCAGCCAUGCCGCGUGUGUGAAGAAGGCCCUCGGGUUGUAAAGCACUUUCAGUGGGGAAGAAAGCCUUGGGGCUAAUACCCUCGAGGAAGGACAUCACCCACAGAAGAAGCACCGGCUAACUCCGUGCCAGCAGCCGCGGUAAUACGGAGGGUGCGAGCGUUAAUCGGAAUUACUGGGCGUAAAGCGCGCGUAGGUGGCUUGAUAAGCCGGUUGUGAAAGCCCCGGGCUCAACCUGGGAACGGCAUCCGGAACUGUCAGGCUAGAGUGCAGGAGAGGAAGGUAGAAUUCCCGGUGUAGCGGUGAAAUGCGUAGAGAUCGGGAGGAAUACCAGUGGCGAAGGCGGCCUUCUGGACUGACACUGACACUGAGGUGCGAAAGCGUGGGUAGCAAACAGGAUUAGAUACCCUGGUAGUCCACGCCGUAAACGAUGUCGACUAGCCGUUGGGAGCCUCGAGUUCUUAGUGGCGCAGUUAACGCGAUAAGUCGACCGCCUGGGGAGUACGGCCGCAAGGUUAAAACUCAAAUGAAUUGACGGGGGCCCGCACAAGCGGUGGAGCAUGUGGUUUAAUUCGAUGCAACGCGAAGAACCUUACCUACCCUUGACAUCGUGCGAACUUGGUAGAGAUACCUUGGUGCCUUCGGGAACGCACAGACAGGUGCUGCAUGGCUGUCGUCAGCUCGUGUUGUGAAAUGUUGGGUUAAGUCCCGUAACGAGCGCAACCCUUGUCCCUAUUUGCCAGCGAUUCGGUCGGGAACUCUAGGGAGACUGCCGGUGACAAACCGGAGGAAGGUGGGGACGACGUCAAGUCAUCAUGGCCCUUACGGGUAGGGCUACACACGUGCUACAAUGGUCGGUACAAAGGGUUGCAAAGCGGCGACGUGGAGCUAAUCCCAGAAAGCUGAUCUCAGUCCGGAUCGGAGUCUGCAACUCGACUCCGUGAAGUCGGAAUCGCUAGUAAUCGUGAAUCAGAAUGUCACGGUGAAUACGUUCCCGGGCCUUGUACACACCGCCCGUCACACCAUGGGAGUGGACUGCACCAGAAGUGGUUAGCCUAACUUCGGAGGGCGAUCACCACGGUGUGUCAGCU
rnacentral:rRNA from 1 species